rnacentral:rRNA from 1 species
CUACGGGGGGCUGCAGUGGGGAAUAUUGCACAAUGGGCGCAAGCCUGAUGCAGCCAUGCCGCGUGUAUGAAGAAGGCCUUCGGGUUGUAAAGUACUUUCAGCGGGGAGGAAGGGAGUAAAGUUAAUACCUUUGCUCAUUGACGUUACCCGCAGAAGAAGCACCGGCUAACUCCGUGCCAGCAGCCGCGGUAAUACGGAGGGUGCAAGCGUUAAUCGGAAUUACUGGGCGUAAAGCGCACGCAGGCGGUUUGUUAAGUCAGGUGUGAAAUCCCCGGGCUCAACCUGGGAACUGCAUCUGAUACUGGCAAGCUUGAGUCUCGUAGAGGGGGGUAGAAUUCCAGGUGUAGCGGUGAAAUGCGUAGAGAUCUGGAGGAAUACCGGUGGCGAAGGCGGCCCCCUGGACGAAGACUGACGCUCAGGUGCGAAAGCGUGGGGAGCAAACAGGAUUAGAUACCCCCGUAGUC